AUGCACGCUGGCGGCAUGCCUAACACAUGCCAGUCGAACGAAGGCUUCGGCCUUAGUGGCGCACGGGUGCGUAACGCGUGGGAAUCUGCCCCUUGGUUCGGAAUAACAGUUAGAAAUGACUGCUAAUACCGGAUGAUGACGUAAGUCCAAAGAUUUAUCGCCGAGGGAUGAGCCCGCGUAGGAUUAGCUAGUUGGUGUGGUAAGAGCGCACCAAGGCGACGAUCCUUAGCUGGUCUGAGAGGAUGAUCAGCCACACUGGGACUGAGACACGGCUCAGACUCCUACGGGAGGCAGCAGUGGGGAAUAUUGGACAAUGGGCGAAAGCCUGAUCCAGCAAUGCCGCGUGAGUGAUGAAGGCCUUAGGGUUGUAAAGCUCUUUUACCCGGGAUGAUAAUGACAGUACCGGGAGAAUAAGCUCCGGCUAACUCCGUG
rnacentral:rRNA from 1 species